AUGCCCCUUAUGACCUGGGCUACACACGUGCUACAAUGGGCGGUACAAAGGGUCGCGAACCCGCGAGGGGGAGCCAAUCCCAAAAAGCCGCUCUCAGUUCGGAUUGCAGGCUGCAACUCGCCUGCAUGAAGCCGGAAUCGCUAGUAAUCGCGGAUCAGCAUGCCGCGGUGAAUACGUUCCCGGGCCUU
rnacentral:rRNA from 1 species